AGGGGCGGGGUCGAAGGGACGUGAGGCCUCCGCAGGGGCGGGACGAAGAUGGGGAGGGGACGGGGCUUUGGCGAGCCCGUCAGGGGGUGGAGCGUGGAAGGAGGCUAGACCACAAGGGGGCAGGGAACAAAAAUAUGAAUGAACCUCAGCUAAUGAAGUAGGACCUUCCGUCUUUGGAAUUCUGUCCCAGAGACCAUCACAAAAGGCCAGUAAGAAAAGCCUAUCACCAGAAUCCAAAUGUCAGGUUGAAACUCCUAGAUAAUGGAGCAGCCUUCUAAAGAAACCUCAAAAAAUUGAAUAAAAUACCUCAUAAAAUUA